UUUUUUUAAUUACUCCUUUAUACCAGUAAGCAAACUUGGAGAAUCUAUUCCCAAAAAUUUUACAGGGAUGUGGAGUAGACACUUUUGUCUACCAUUAAGGCUUAGCUGGAGUCAGAAAGAAAGAUAUAAUUAGGGGUCACAAAAGGUUUUUACCUGAUGCUCUUUUUUUUGUUAUUGUUGUUGUUUUGUUUUUGUUUUUGUUUUUUUGACCUUGAGGGAUUAAGGAAGAAGAAGGGGAACAGAGAAGCAGAUGACAAGAGGCUCACAUGGGUGUCCCAAUUUCCCUUCUCUGGACUUUGACUUGGAGAGGGUGCAAGUACAUUAGAGAGAACACUGAGAACAAGAGAGGAGACAUUGACUUUGCUUCCCAUUUAACACUGUGCAAGAGGCCACCUCUUGAAUUGCCCCCUGCCCUAAACUGUAGUAUAGCCAUGGCAACUGGACAGCUUGGUGUGGUUGGGCAGAGGGACGUAUCUUCGCCAUCUUGGGCUGCCAUAACAAAAUUCCAUAGAUUGAGUGAUUUAAACAACAGAAGUUAAUUUUCUCAAAGUUCUGGGGGCCAGGAAGUCCAAGAUCAAGGUGCUGGCUGAUUCAAUUUCUGAUGAGAGCUCUCUUCCUGGCUUGCAGAUGGCUGCCUUGCUGUGUCCUCAUAUGGUGGAGAGCGAGGGAAUGGCCUCCCUGGUGUCUCUUCUUAUAAGGGCACUAAUUCUAUCAGAUUAUGGCUCCACCCUUAUGACCUCAUUUAACUUUAAUUACCUCCUUAAAGGCCCUAUCUGUAAAUAUAGUUACAUUGAGGGUUAGGCUUUGUGUUAGUCUGUUCUCACGCUGCUAAUAAAGACAUACCUGAGACUGGAUAGUUUAUAAAAGAAAGAGGUUUAAUUGACUCACAGUUCCAUAUGGCUGGGGAGGCCUCACAGUCAUGGUGAACGGGGAAUGAGGAGCAGUCACGUCUUACUAACGGUGGCAGGCAAGACAGCUUGUUCAGGAAAAUUCCCGUUUAUAAAACCAUCAGAUCUCCUGAGACUACAAUGAGAACAGUAUGGAGGAAACCACCCCCUUGAUUCAGUUAUCUCCAUCUGGCCCUGCUCUUGACACAUGGGGAUUAUUAUAAUCCAGGGUGAGAUUUGGGUGGGGACACAGCCAAACCACAUCAGGCUUCAAUAUGUGACUUUUGGGGGUACAAAGUUCAGUCCAUAGCAAUUCAGUCCUUUGGAAUUUAGCAUCCUGGAGCUGCCCUGGGAUCCUGAAUGGUCUACGUCAACCCAGAGGUGGCUGAGGAUGUGGCUGAAGAGUUUCCUAGCAGGGGCCACAGUACCAGAGUGAGGUACCAGACCUGCAUCCUGCUUAAAAAUCCAGCAUGCACCCUGGAGAAUUGCUGGCACUUGGCAAAUAUUUAUUGAAAUGAGCCGUUGGGCUGUAUCUUCUUUUUGCAUGUGUAAUAGGAGUGUCCCUUGUUCUCCAGCCUUCAGGAGUCACCCUUUCCUUGAACGUCCUCUGAAUAUCAGCCCCAGAUCUGUAGGAAGUCCACUUGAGUCUUCAGUAAAUGCUGAUAUGUUCUUUUUCUUUGAGACGGCGUCUCGCUGCUGACUCCCAGGCUGGAAUACUCUGGCGUGAUCUUUGCUCACUGCAACCUCCACCGCCUGGGUUCAAGCGAUUCUCCUGCCUCAGCCUCCUGAGUAACUGGGACUACAGCAUCCCCCUUGGGAGGAUGAGGAAGAAGGUCACAUUCUCAGGAUGGUGGAGAAAAAAGCUAGAAGGAGACUGGGUACCUGAUGUCCGUGGUGCUGCCCUGUUAGCUCUGGACUGCCUUUCUUCAAAUUCCUUAUUAAGAAAAACAACCUCUGUCUUGACUGAUAUGCUUUUAUUUGUUUUUUUGUUUGUUUGUUUUUUGGUUCCCUGCAGUUGAAUUUAAUUCCCAACUGAUAUAAUUAUGUUUAGUGCAAAGGCUCAACUGGGUAUGAUUGUCAUGAGAUCACUUCAGCCAAUAAACAGAAAUUAUGAUAA
rnacentral:lncRNA from 10 species